UACGAAGGGGGCUAGCGUUGCUCGGAAUCACUGGGCGUAAAGCGCACGUAGGCGGCUUUUUAAGUCAGGGGUGAAAUCCUGGAGCUCAACUCCAGAACUGCCUUUGAUACUGAGAAGCUUGAGUCCGGGAGAGGUGAGUGGAACUGCGGGUGUAGAGGUGAAAUUCGUAGAUAUUCGCAAGAACACCAGUGGCGAAGGCGGCUCACUGGCCCGGUACUGACGCUGAGGUGCGAAAGCGUGGGGAGCAAACAGG
rnacentral:rRNA from 1 species